GUAACAUUUAUUCUUGCUGUGGGGCUGAAAACCCGAGCAACCUGUCCUUAACCCUAAUCCUCACCCUCGCCCUGCAAUUUGCUGGGUUAAACACGGGGAAACUGAGGCACGGCUGCAGCGCGACUUUGCCCGCAGGCAGAGAGCCGAAGGGAGGGCACGGCAGCGGAGGGCAGGGGGGGCCGUGCUCCCCCUCACAUUUGGGAGCGGGAUGCAGGCGUCCUGGCCACGAGCAUCCCCCCGCCACCUCCCAGACCCCCCAUUUUAUUGGGAAAGGGGGAAAAAAUCGUUGAGAGCCGCCCCCGUCCGCUGCACCCCUGCCCUCCCCGAUCCCCACCGCCCGGAGGGUGCCACCGCGGGGGGACCGCGAGGGUGGCGGCGGGGGCCGCCGGGCGCAGGCGGGCUGCAGGAUGCUGCUCUCUGUGUCUCCUUGCUGGGCGGUCGAUCCCCAGACAGGCUCCUCGCCUUGCUGCGUGUGCUCUUUCGAGCCCAUUGAUUUCCCUGAGCCGCGUGGAGCUGGGUGUUUCACCAACUUGCGCAAAGCGAGCGGCCGAAUUACUUGGGCUGCAGCCACCCCUGCCCAGUGUCACCACUGCCCCCUGAGCCCGUCCCACUCGUCACACCGAUGGGCUGCUCUGGGAGCUGGCAUCCCGGGAGGGUUUCCUCUGCUGCUGCCUGGGCAAACUGAGACAUCCUCUGAGCAUCUCCAUGUCCGUGAGCAUCCUGCAUCCCUGAGCGUCUCCGUAUCCCGCAGCAUCCCACGUCCCUACACCAGCAGGUCCCAGGCACGGGGCCGAGGGCGCAGCAGGAGCCCCGCAGGGGAGGAGUGCUGCGGAGGGUGACGGCAACGUAGCACCUACUCUAAUGGGAUCCUCUCCACAAGUAAUUAAGCCUCGGCUAAUGCUAACCGUAAUGUGAUGUAUGUAUGCCUUUAACUAAUCAUUUAUUAGCCUCGUUGAUGGUUUGUCAAUAUUAAUUCAUUUAUUUAAACAACUCCGAGCUGUAAUGAAGAUGUUUGCUUUAAGGGGGAAAAAAAGAGAUGGAGCUGCCAGGAGAUUUUUUGUUGACUCGAUGGAUGUCGCUCUGCCCUGGGUGAUGAGCGGCGUCCCUGCCCUCAAAGCCUGGCCCCUCGCUGCCAGCAGUGUCCCCAACCUGGUGGCAGCCCCCGGAGCAUCCCGAGGGGCUGCUGUAGGGCUGUAGGGACCCCCCCUCACAGCACCUCUGGGCUGGCUAGGAUGGGGCCACCCGAAGCAGCUGAGCGCUGUGACUGGAACAACUUUGUUUUGAAGAAUUUCCAUCAGUUUGACCUUAAAAUGUUCUAGCCGUACUUAGACGCCUGAAGUCAGACCCAAAUGUGCUGCACGACCAGGAACAAUUGGUUUCUGCUGACUUUCGACUUGGUAAUGAUUUCAAAUUGGUUUUCAUUUCAAAUCAAAUUACUUCUAUUUAAUAUUUUUUUGAGGUGGGGGAAAGGGAAAUUGACAAGAAACUGAAAAAAUGUAUUUUUUAUUCCAUUUGAUAGCCCACCUUGGGCUGGAUUUGCUCUUCCUUCUGCAGCCCGUGGGUGCCAAGGCCAGCAGGGUGCUCUCCAGGGGAGCAUCCCCAGGGCAGCAGGGUCCUGUGCCGGGGCUGUGCCAAACAGCUCCCGCAGCACGGGCUUUGGUGCUGGCCCUGGAUGUUGCAGCAGCUGCUUUCAGCUCUCCUCCUCAGCUUCUUAAUAUCAGCUAGAUCACAGUAUUAAAGUUAACUUUCUCUUAAACAAGCUUAAUUAGCGUCCUUCAGACAAACAUAAAUUAAUCCCGGGCUGCUCUGGAAGAUGCGGAAAUUCCCCUUGAUCGAUUG
rnacentral:lncRNA from 1 species